rnacentral:rRNA from 1 species
UUUUCGGGCUUCGGCUCGACUCUCCCACCCUUUGUGAACGUACCUCUGUUGCUUUGGCGGCUCCGGCCGCCAAAGGACCUCCAAACUCCAGUCAGUAAACGCAGACGUCUGAUAAACAAGUUAAUAAACUAAAACUUUCAACAACGGAUCUCUUGGUUCUGGCAUCGAUGAAGAACGCAGCGAAAUGCGAUAAGUAAUGUGAAUUGCAGAAUUCAGUGAAUCAUCGAAUCUUUGAACGCACAUUGCGCCCCUUGGUAUUCCGGGGGGCAUGCCUGUUCGAGCGUCAUUACAACCCUCAAGCUCUGCUUGGAAUUGGGCACCGUCCUCACUGCGGACGCGCCUCAAAGACCUCGGCGGUGGCUGUUCAGCCCUCAAGCGUAGUAGAAUACACCUCGCUUUGGAGUGGUUGGCGUCGCCCGCCGGACGAACCUUC